AACGCACCUUGCGCCCCUUGGUAUUCCGAGGGGCAUGCCUGUUCGAGUGUCAUUAAAUUAUCAGCUCAAAGUCUUUUGAUGUCUGGAUCUUGGAGCGUGCGGGUCUUCGCGAUCCGCUCCUCUCGAAACGCAUUAGCGGCUUGCGGAUCUGCCCUGGCGUGAUAAUUAUCUACGUCGCGGCGGCGAAGCUUCCGCUUACAAACUCCCACUAAAUGACGAAUUUGACCUCGAAUCAGGUAGGACUACCCGCUGAACUUAA
rnacentral:misc_RNA from 1 species